rnacentral:rRNA from 1 species
CGCGUAGGCGGUCUUGUCGGUCAGAUGUGAAAGCCCAGGGCCCAACCCUGGACGUGCAUUUGAAACAGCAAGAUUUGAGUACGGGAGAGGAAAGCGGAAUUCCUGGUGUAGAGGUGAAAUUCGUAGAUAUCAGGAGGAACACCGAUGGCGAAGGCAGCUUUCUGGACCGAUACUGACGCUGAGGCGCGAAGGCGUGGGUAGCGAACAGGAUUAGAUACCCUGGUAGUCC